UACGAAGGGGGCUAGCGUUGUUCGGAUUUACUGGGCGUAAAGCGCACGUAGGCGGAUCGUUAAGUCGGGGGUGAAAUCCUGGAGCUCAACUCCAGAACUGCCUUCGAUACUGGCGAUCUUGAGUCCGGGAAGAGGUGAGUGGAACUCCUAGUGUAGAGGUGGAAUUCGUAGAUAUUAGGAAGAACACCAGUGGCGAAGGCGGCUCACUGGGUCCGGUACUGACGCUGAGGUGCGAAAGCGUGGGGGAGCAAACAGG
rnacentral:rRNA from 1 species